ACCGGGAACACCAUGAAUAUACAUACAUCUACCUAAACACUGAUCAUCAGAGAUUGAGCCUUUUAUAAACGCAGUGAUCUCUUCCAUUUCUUUGCUUCUACAAGGAAGUGACUUAGGACGUGUAGCCAACAACAAAGUAGCCUUCGCCUUUUCUAACUCACUCUGCUUAUGACAUCUCACAUGUUCAGGAAUCCUCUUCAUCCCCACCUUCUCAAGCCCAAAGAAACGCCCUUUACGAGAAUUUGCACCACCUCGCUUACUCUUCGAAACCCCACGAACACUCUCUUCAUCAUCAAACUCAAUCUCUUCAUCACUAUAAUCAAUCUCCUCCUCUUUCCUACCAUUCCAUUCUUGAUCACUAUCCUCAUCUCCAUCAGCCAAUUCAGCCACACGCUUAAAGCUACCCCAAUGAACAUCAUACUCAUACUCACACAAAAACACAUCAUCACCAUCAUUACUAGCUUUCGAAAACUCCUUAGGACAUUUCACAAAACAAUGCCUAAGAACACAUUCCAUCUCUAUAUCAGCAAAAUCAUUCGUCAAAUAAAGCUCUCGUUUCAGAUUAUGACGUUGUCUCCCUAAAACCGUCUCUUCAGGUAUCAUAUACCAACGAGCUCUAAUCCAAUACACACCAUCAUCAACUUCUUUCCACAACUUCUCAAUUCGAGCAGCCCAUAAAUCACUAGAGAGAAGCUUCUCCUUCAUCGUUCUCGCUAAUUUCUUCCCUUCCGGUGGCUUAGGAACAACCACAAGUGUUUGACCUGACUUUUUAACCUCACAGAAUUGACAGAUCCAAUCACCUUCAGGAACUUCCUUCAAUGGCGG